rnacentral:rRNA from 1 species
UAGGGAAUCUUCGGCAAUGGACGAAAGUCUGACCGAGCAACGCCGCGUGAGUGAAGAAGGUUUUCGGAUCGUAAAACUCUGUUGUUAGAGAAGAACAAGGACGUUAGUAACUGAACGUCCCCUGACGGUAUCUAACCAGAAAGCCACGGCUAACUACGUGCCAGCAGCCGCGGUAAUACGUAGGUGGCAAGCGUUGUCCGGAUUUAUUGGGCGUAAAGCGAGCGCAGGCGGUCUCUUAAGUCUGAUGUGAAAGCCCCCGGCUCAACCGGGGAGGGUCAUUGGAAACUGGGAGACUUGAGUGCAGAAGAGGAGAGUGGAAUUCCAUGUGUAGCGGUGAAAUGCGUAGAUAUAUGGAGGAACACCAGUGGCGAAGGCGGCUCUCUGGUCUGCAACUGACGCUGAGGCUCGAAAGCGUGGGGAGCAAACAGG